AAUAAUUGUGACUAGUAAGAGAUAAGACAAUAUUUAGAUGCUAUUUAAUAUAUAUAUAUAUAUAUGUUGUUCAUGAAAAUAUUGAUGCGGAAAUAUGAAGGAAGGCUAAGGGCAAAAUUGAAAUUUUAAAAAUUAGUUUCAUGAAUUACAAAUAUUAACUAAAGCAAAUGGGCUAGGAAAAUGCAAAAAAAAAAAAAAAAAAAAGGAGAGGCCCAAUCUAUGUGGGUGGCCGGCCAUGGAAAAAAAAAAGGGCCCAAGCCCAUGUGGAAAAUUUGACCCAUGAAAUAAAUAAAUAAAGAGGGGCUUAGCAUUUGUCAUCCAUUAGAACUUUCAAGAAAAGCAAAAGUUAGAGCAAAAAAAGAAGGGGAAUUCGGCCAUAGAAGAAAGAAGAAAAAAAAAUUGAGCCAUCAAUCUUGGAUCCAAAAAUUAUAAUUUUCUUGAAUUCUUUCUAAGUUCAAGACCCUCUUCAACGUGGUAUAAUUAUUUAAGCGAGAAAACCACUUUAGUGGCAAGUGAAAAUUUUAGAAAAGAUAUUGGAGAGCCCGAGACUUGAGUCGGGAUUUGGUUAGCGAGCGAUCGAGGUACAGACGUUCGUUCUGGUGACCCGCCAGUGUAGGACACUUAUUCUGCUAUUCGGAGUGCUCCCUUUGAUCCGGAGCCCAUAUUUUUGGUACAUAUCUUCCAUGGUACAUAUUUCUGUAUGUAUGUAUGUAUAUGACUAUUUGGGGUACGACGGGGCCCUGUCCCGUCAUAUGUUUCUGUUAUGGUUUGUAGAGGCCUGUAGACAUAUAUGUGGGUCAUGGGUCAUGUUUGUUCGAUUAUGUUUGUGAUUUGUGCCUUAAGCGGUCCCGUUUGCUAUUAUGGCCAAAACGACCCAUAUGUUUGUAUAUGUAUGUAUAUUCGGGCGAUGUGUAUUCCGCCAGCCUGCCGGCUUUUGGUAUGAUAUUUCUGUUACAGGUGACCGCUUAAGAUGACGUCUGUUUCUCAG